rfam:Felis catus isolate Cinnamon breed Abyssinian chromosome C1, whole genome shotgun sequence.
ACCUGGCUGGCUCAGUUGGUAGAGCAUGUGACCCUUCAUCUCAGGGUCAUGAGUUCAAGUCCCAUGUUGGGUA